GCAGAGGCUAAUAUGAAAGUAAAAGACAAGAAGACCCUAUAGAGCUUAACUUUAACUUUUAUUUACAAAAGUAAAAGAUUUUGUUGGGGCGACAUGGGAAAACAAAUAACUUCCUUCCAUAAAAAGGCCAAUUAGCCUAAAAUCUACCCUUGAAAAAGGAUUUAAAAAAGCUACCUUAGGGAUAACAGGCUAAUUCCCCCUAAGAGCUCUAAUCGACGGGGGAGCUUGGCACCUCGAUGUUGGCUUAAGGUUCCUAAGUUGCGCAGAAGUAACAACAGGUGGUUUGUUCAACCAUUAAAUCCUU
rnacentral:rRNA from 1 species